rnacentral:rRNA from 1 species
AUGCACCGAAGCUGCGGCAGCGAACGUAUCACUUAAAGCGAUUCAGCGGAUGACGAUUGACGGAGCGAAGCGACGUCAAAGCGUUUUACAACGUCGAGUCGGUUUAAGGAUACGUUCGUUGGGUAGGGGAGCGUUCUGUAAGCCUGCGAAGGUGGCCUGUGAGGGUUGCUGGAGGUAUCAGAAGUGCGAAUGCUGACAUAAGUAACGAUAAUGCGGGUGAAAAACCCGCACGCCGGAAGACCAAGGGUUCCUGUCCAACGUUAAUCGGGGCAGGGUGAGUCGACCCCUAAGGCGAGGCCGAAAGGCGUAGUCGAUGGGAAACAGGUUAAUAUUCCUGUACCUGGUGUUACUGCGAAGGGGGGACGGAGAAGGCUAUGUUGGCCGGGCGACGGUUGUCCCGGUUUAAGCGUGCAGGUGUGUGUUCCAGGAAAAUCCGGUUCACUUUAACACUGAGGCGUGACGACGAGGCACUACGGUGCUGAAGCAACAAAUGCCCUGCUUCCAGGAAAAGCCUCUAAGCCUCAGGUAACAUCAGAUCGUACCCGAAACCGACACAGGUGGUCAGGUAGAGAAUACCAAGGCGCUUGAGAGAACCCGGGUGAAGGAACUAGGCAAAAUGGUGCCGUAACUUCGGGAGAAGGCACGCUGACAUGUAGGUGAAGCGGUUUACCCGUGGAGCUGAAGUCAGUCGAAGAUACCAGCUGGCUGCAACUGUUUAUUAAAAACACAGCACUGUGCAAACACGAAAGUGGACGUAUACGGUGUGACGCCUGCCCGGUGCCGGAAGGUUAAUUGAUGGGGUCAGCGCAAGCGAAGCUCCUGAUCGAAGCCCCGGUAAACGGCGGCCGUAACUAUAACGGUCCUAAGGUAGCGAAAUUCCUUGUCGGGUAAGUUCCGACCUGCACGAAUGGCGUAAUGAUGGCCAGGCUGUCUCCACCCGGGACUCAGUGAAAUUGAACUCGCUGUGAAGAUGCAGUGUACCCGCGGCAAGACGGAAAGACCCCGUGAACCUUUACUAUAGCUUGACACUGAACACUGGUCCUUGAUGUGCAGGAUAGGUGGGAGGCUUUGAAGUGUGGACGCCAGUCUGCAUGGAGCCGUCCUUGAAAUACCACCCUUUAAUGGCUGGUGUUCUAACGUAGACCCGUGAACCGGGUUGCGGACAGUGUCUGGUGGGUAGUUUGACUGGGGCGGUCUCCUCCUAAAGCGUAACGGAGGAGCACGAAGGUUGGCUAAUCCUGGUCGGACAUCAGGAGGUUAGUGCAAUGGCAUAAGCCAGCUUGACUG